rnacentral:rRNA from 1 species
UACAGAGGUCUCGAGCGUUGUUCGGAUUCAUUGGGCGUAAAGGGCGCGUAGGCGGCGCGGUAAGUCGGGUGUGAAAUCUUGGAGCUUAACUCCGAAACUGCACUCGAUACUGCUCUGCUUGAGGACUGGAGAGGAGACUGGAAUUCACGGUGUAGCAGUGAAAUGCGUAGAUAUCGUGAGGAAGACCAGUGGCGAAGGCGGGUCUCUGGGACAGUUCCUGACGCUGAGGCGCGAAGGCCAGGGGGAGCAAACGGG